CAUGAAGUAGAUUCGAGGACUAUGUUGAGCCUUGAAAUUUUUUAGCUCGACAAGUAUUAAAUGUCUACUCAACAUGUUUGUAAAUGCUUCACCACAAAGUGUAUGUUUUGUAGAUAAUACCAAAUAGUCUCGAUGAAGUGAUAAUAUCCAAAUCCAAGUUGCCAAUCUAAAUCAAGUUAUUAAGCUAUAAUCAAGUUUCAAGAACAAAGGUUUAAUCUUCUUAUAACAUUGUUUUUUGCCCCUUCACUUUACCAUUCCUCGUGUCUGUAUAUCUAACCAUUUGUCUCCAAUAGUGUACUCCCUUAGACUUAAUGCAUUAUCUGCCACCUAUUAAUCAUUGAAACUGCGAUCGUUUUGAACUGACAGAAGCCAACUUCAAGGCUGAAUAAAGACAUUAUUGCAUGUACGUUUACAUAUGGGAUUACAUAAUGUUUACAUGACAUUUUAUCAUUUGCCAAUUUAAAACAUAUUCAACUUUUUUUAAUCCAAUUUUCUCCCUCCAUAUUAUUUUUGAUUGUUACAAGAAAAUACCCAAAUCGACUCUAAUGAAGACAGAAAACUCUCAGAUACAAAGGCAUCAAGAUUUCAUCGAUUAGGGCUCAGAUCUUAGCAUUGUACCCGUCUGUACAAUCUAAAACUCAUAAACCACAGUCCCAAACCACAAAACACAGAGGCAGUCACUUCAAUGAACCAAGAACACUCAAGACCUAACUGAGAACUCCCAACAAAGCUCAACCGAACAGUCACACAGACUGUAGGAACACACAGAGGUCACAAAACCAGUAGUUUAAUGGCAUAAUCUCAAGAUUUACAGAGAAGAAGAAGAAGCAGAAGACACACAGUCACGAAGAGAGAGACCCAGAAGGUUCGAGAGAAAAUCACGAAGAGGCAGAGAGAAUAUGACUCGAAUUAGGGUCAAACGAGUCUCAACCCUCAUUUAUAUAUUAUUGGUAGCCUUUUAGGUUAAGUUGAUCAAACGGUCCAGAGCGACUUGCAUAGUUUAAUUGGUUUGGGCCGGGUUUCAGCUGGUUAAACAUUGAUUUAUUGGGCAAUGGGCUGGGUAGUAUCUGUUGGACUUUA
rnacentral:lncRNA from 1 species